rnacentral:tRNA from 1 species
GAAAUAAGAGACUCAAAAUUAAGCUUCUAACUUAAAUUUUAAGCAGUGAAACUCUGUUUAUAUUUCU